rnacentral:rRNA from 1 species
GACGAACGCUGGCGGCGUGCUUAACACAUGCAAGUCGAGCGGUAAGGCCCUUUCGGGGUACACGAGCGGCGAACGGGUGAGUAACACGUGGGUGACCUGCCCUCAGCUCUGGGAUAAGCCUGGGAAACCGGGUCUAAUACCGGAUAUGACUCCAUGACGCAUGUUGUGGGGUGGAAAGCCUUGUGCGGCUGAGGAUGGGCCCGCGGCCUAUCAGCUUGUUGGUGGGGUGAGGCCUACCAAGGCGACGAUCCGUAGCUGGUCUGAGAGGACGAUCAGCCACACUGGGACUGAGACACGGCCCAGACUCCUACGGGAGGCAGCAGUGGGGAAUUUUGCACAAUGGGCGAAAGCCUGAUGCAGCAACGCCGCGUGUGUGAUGAAGGUCUUC